rnacentral:misc_RNA from 1 species
GAUGAAGAACGUAGCGAAGUGCGAUAAGUAAUGUGAAUUGCAGAAUUCAGUGAAUCAUCGAAUCUUUGAACGCACAUUGCGCCCCCUGGUAUUCCGGGGGGCAUGCCUGUUCGAGCGUCAUUUCACCACUCAAGCCUCGCUUGGUAUUGGGCAACGCGGUCCGCCGCGUGCCUCAAAUCGACCGGCUGGGUCUUCUGUCCCCUAAGCGUUGUGGAAACUAUUCGCUAAAGGGUGUUCGGGAGGCUACGCCGUAAAACAACCCCAUUUCUAAGGUUGACCUCGGAUCAGGUAGGGAUACCCGCUGAACUUAAGCAUAUCAAUAAGCGGAGGA